rnacentral:rRNA from 1 species
CCCUUAGAUGUUCUGGGCCGCACGCGCGCUACACUGAUUCAUGCAACAAGUUUUGUCCUUGGCUGAUAGGCCUGGGUAAUCUUUGAACGUGAAUCGUGAUGGGGAUAGAUGAUUGCAAUUAUUCAUCUUCAACGAGGAAUUCCUAGUAAACGCAAGUCAUCAGCUUGCAUUGAUUACGUCCCUGCCCUUUGUACACACCGCCCGUCGCACCUACCGAUUGAAUGGUCCGGUGAAUAAUUCGGACUGAGGAUUUAGGCAGUUUCUGUCUUUAUCUUCGGGAAGUCUAGUGAACCUUAUCACUUAGAGGAAGGAGAAGUCGUAACA